UACGUAGGGGGCAAGCGUUGUCCGGAUUUAUUGGGCGUAAAGAGCGUGUAGGCGGCUUGGUAGGUCUUGCGUCAAAACCUGAGGCUCAACCUCAGUUCGCGUGGGAAACCAUCUAGCUAGAGUCCGGAAGAGGAGAACGGAAUUCCCAGUGUAGCGGUGAAAUGCGCAGAUAUUGGGAAGAACACCAAUGGCGAAAGCACUUGUCUGGACGGAGACUGACGCUGAGAUACGAAAGCCAAGGGAGCGAACAGG
rnacentral:rRNA from 1 species